GCAACACUGAAGCAUGCACGAGAGCACUAGCUGUUUGGAUGACUGUGUGAUAAUGCUCUCGGUAGCCAAUGUGAGAAAGACCUUUAAACAGGUCAACAUUCACAAAGCUGCGGAGCCAGAUGGAUUACCAGGACAUGUACUUGUACCAGACCUUCAGUUUCUUGGCAAUUUCUCACAUGGAAUAGCCUUCAUUUCUCAGAACAAGAAUAGACUGAUGAGUUUCAGAAGAAAGUUAUUUGUUUCUGGCCAUUUUGUGCCUGUAAUCGAACCCAUAAAUGCUGAUGCUCAAGAUACUCAACUAAUCUAAAGGACAGUUUUAUUGCUUCUUUAAACAGAACAACAGUUUACAGCUGUGCCAACAUAAUUGCAGAAGGAAUUUCUAAGAAUCAGUUAGCCUUUUUAAAAUGAUAAACUUGGAUUAGCUAACACAACGUGCCUUUGGAACACAGGAGUGAUGGUUGCUGAUAAUGGGCCUCUGUACACCUAUGUAGAUAUUCCAUUAAAAAUCAGCUGUUUCCAGCUAUAAUAGUCAUUUACUACAUUAACAAUGUCUACACUGUAUUUCUGAUCAAUUUGAUGUUAUUUUAAUUGACCAAAAAUGUGUUUCUUUCAAAAACAAGGACAUUUUAUAAAUGACCCCAAACUUUUGAACGGUAUUGUAUGUGAGAAUGCUGUUCAUUGACUACAGCUCAGCAUUCAACACCAUAGUCCCCACGAAGCUCAUCACUAAGCUAAGAACCCUGGGACUAAAUACCUCCCUCUGCAACUGGAUCCUCGACUUGCUGACUGUCUGUCCCCAGGUGGUAAGGAUAGGCAACCACACGUCUGCCACGCUGAUCCUCAACACUGGGGCCCUUCAGGGGUGUGUACUUAGUCCCCUCCUGUACUUCCUGUCCACCCACGACUGCGUGGCCAAACACGACUGCAACACCAUCAUUAAGUUUGCUGACUACACAACAGUGAUCACUGACAACGAUGAGACGGCCUAUAGGGAGGAGGUCAGAGAACUGGCAGUGUAGUGCCAGGACAAGAACCUCUCCCUCAACGUGAGCAAGACAAAGGCGCUGAUCGUGGACUACAGGAAAAGGUGGCCGAACAAGUCCCCUUUAACAUUAACUGGGCUGUAGUGGAGCGGGUCGAUAGUUUCAAGUUCCUUGGUGUCCACAUCACCAAUGAUCUAUCAUGGUCCAAACACACCAAGACAGUCAUGAAGAGGGCACGACAAAACCUUUUUCCCCCUCAGGAGACUGAAAAGAUUUGGCAUGGGUCCCCAGAUCCUCAAAGUUCAACAGCUGCAUCAUCGAGAGCUCUGGUUGCAUCACCACCUGGUAUGGCAACUGCUCAGCAUCUGACCAUAAGGCGCUACUGAGGGUGGUGCGUAUGGCCCAGUACAUCACUGGAGCCAAGCUUCCCGCAAUCCAGGACCUAUAUAAUAGCCAUACGACUGCUGAACAAUUAAUCAAAUGGCCAUCAGACUAUUACAUUUACAAUCCCCCCUUUGUUUUGUAUACUGCUGCUAACUGUUUAUUACCUAUGCAUAGUCACUUCACCCCUACCUACAUGUACAAAUUACCUGUACCCACGCACACUGACUCGGUACCGGUACCCCCUGUAUAUAGCCUAUUUAUUGUUAUGUUAUUAUUAUUUUUUACUUUAGUUUAUUUGGUAAAUAUUUUCUUAACUCUUCUUGAACUGCACUGUUUAAGGACUUGUAAGUAAACAUUUCAUGGUAAGGUCUACACUUGUUGUAUUCGGUGCAUGUGACAAAGGUUGAUUUGAUUCAACAGCUGAUAUGACUACCUCACCACCACCUGAAAAUGGUAAGAUCCAAUAGACAGAAUUACAAAGGUCAAACUGCCAUGUUUGUGCAAUUAAACAGUUUGUGAUUUUCUGUUCCCAUAGGUUCAUUGUUCGUCGGAGUCAUUGUCAUUUUAGUUAUUGGUACAUUUCAUUGAAAAGUGGGGGGGGGGGGACAAGCCUUUUGCUCCCUUGUUUCUUGCCAAUGGAAUGCUCUCCCUUACCCUCUGAGUGCUGCUCCACCAAUCCAAGCUUUUAAAAUGGGCCUUUAAAACCCACUUCUACAGACUUUUUCUCAUAGGUCUAAUCCCAAUCUGAAAACUGUUUUUUUUUUUGUGCAUCUAGCCCAUUUGCAUUUUUCUUUGCUUAAGUAGAGCCUUGAGAAGGACUCUAAGGAAAAGCACUAUGCACAUUAAAUGCAUUAUUAUUAAUAUUAGAUGGCUCUGCUACUGCUUUUCCUGUCGCCGCUGGCAUGGCUGUAGUUAAUCCUUUACUUGUAUUGCUAAAGUACUUCUACAGAAUAUGUCUUAUAAACAUGAAUUUGUAUAUUUUGUGAAGCGGGUCUUGCAGGCAUAACUAAUAUCAAUGAUUGCUUGAGGGCUAAGCUUUGAUGCUGCUGUAUCUGCUGCUGCUCUUGCCAUGGUCUCCUGUAUUCUUCUUCUGUUUAUUUCCUGGGCUUGAUUGCCUGACACUGCAGGGAUUAUCCUGUUACGAGGUGAGAUAUUAGUUUCUUUAGAAUAUCUUCCACAUUAUAUUCACCUGAUACUUAAUCAGUUCCAUGUUGAAAUUAUUGCUUCAUCUAUAGUUCCAGGUGCAGUUUAGCACCAUUAGAGCUUGCAUUACUCCUCUCAAAUGCUAGGAUCACAGUAUUAAGUCUUUGAAAGUAAUGUUUUUGAUUAAUUGGCACUUUUCUCUGUCAGGCUUUAUUGGUGUCGUUGUUGCAGUCUAUUUGAUCAGACAAAAGCAGCAGGGUGCCAGUAGAAACCAAGACCAUAAUGAAGAGGUGGCUGUGAACAUGUUUGACAAUGGGGGAGCCAUCGGCAGUAAUGAGGGCCCGUGGAGCUGUCUCCGGCAGCAUGGUUAGCAAAGAGACUAUGGUACUAAUUGACCUGGCUCGUCUAUGAAGUGCCACAUUUUGAACAUGAACAUAAAAAACACAUCUUACAUUUUCAUUUCAACAGAGUGCGUGUUUGUGUAACUUGUGUUUUCAACAUAUUUCAGUGUGGAACAUAGAUGGCAUAAGACCCUGAUUUUAUUGAUCAGUGAAAAUGGAAUGCAAAUUAUUAAGGGAACUGCUUUGGGGCUUCACAUUUUUUGCUUUUUUUCCCAUCCUAUGGCUUACCUGUCCAUAUUUGUUCAAAUAAAUGAAAGAAUUAUGAACAAUUAGGUUGUCAUUCAAUCAACUCUAUGUUAAUUGCAGCAAUUAUAUAUGAGUUAUUCUACUUUUAAUUGUAGCCCUUGAGAUUUUGAGUGAACUCUGAUUUGGUUUUCACAUGCAUUUCUUUAUCCUUACUAGCAGAUUUUGAAAGUUUUAUGUUGAUACUUCACUUGAAUAGCUGUAGACACAUGACCUUAUACAUUUUUUAUCAUUAUGUAAUCUUUUGGGUAAGUUUGAGGAAAUCUCCUUGUAACCUGUCAAUAAUAAAACCUCAUAACACACUGUGUUUAACAUUCAUAAAACCCUACCAGCUGUUCUUCGUUGACUGUGCUUUAGGAGGAGAAACUUUAAUGCACUAUUCACAUUGGCGUUUGAAGUGGAAUGACACCCUGGUGCAGCGUUCAAGAGCGUGUCCCAA
ensembl:lncRNA